CCUACGGGAGGCAGCAGUGAGGAAUAUUGGUCAAUGGACGAGAGUCUGAACCAGCCAAGUAGCGUGAAGGAUGACUGCCCUAUGGGUUGUAAACUUCUUUUAUAUGGGAAUAAAACGUUCCACGUGUGGGAUUUUGUAUGUACCAUAUGAAUAAGGAUCGGCUAACUCCGUGCCAGCAGCCGCGGUAAUACGGAGGAUCCGAGCGUUAUCCGGAUUUAUUGGGUUUAAAGGGAGCGUAGGUGGAUUGUUAAGUCAGUUGUGAAAGUUUGCGGCUCAACCGUAAAAUUGCAGUUGAAACUGGCAGUCUUGAGUACAGUAGAGGUGGGCGGAAUUCGUGGUGUAGCGGUGAAAUGCUUAGAUAUCACGAAGAACUCCGAUUGCGAAGGCAGUUCACUGGACUGCAACUGACACUGAGGCUCGAAAGUGUGGGUAUCAAACAGGAUUAGAUACCCCAGUAGU
rnacentral:rRNA from 1 species